rnacentral:rRNA from 1 species
AAGUCGUCUGAUAGGCCCCUGCAUUCCAGGUUAAAUCGAGAGCUCGUUACGGGUGAGUUUACACCUGGUGAUUGCCUGCACUUCGGGAUAACCUUGGGAACUUGGUCUAAUACCGGAUAGGAACCAUUUUUAGUGUGAUGUUGGAAAUUUUUUCGGUGUAGGAUGAGCUCCGGCCUGUCAGCUUUUGUGGGUAAUGGCCUACCAAGGCGGCGACGGUUAUCCGGCCUGAGAGGUGGACGGCCACAUUGGGACUGAGAUACGGCCCAGGCUCCUACGGGUAGGCAGCAGUGGGGAAUAUUGCACAAUGGGCGCAAGCCUGAUGCAGCGACGCCGCUGGGGGAUGACGGCCUUCGGGUUGUAAACUCCUUUCGCUAGGGACGAAGCUUUUUGUGACGGUACCUAGAUAAGAAGCACCGGCUAACUACGUGCCAGCAGCCGCGGUAAUACGUAGGGUGCGAGCGUUGUCCGGAAUUACUGGGCGUAAAGGGCUCGUAGGUGGUUUGUCGCGUCGUCUGUGAAAUUCCGGGGCUUAACUCCGGGCGUGCAGGCGAUACGGGCAUAACUUGAGUACUGUAGGGGUAACUGGAAUUCCUGGUGUAGCGGUGAAAUGCGCAGAUAUCAGGAGGAACACCGAUGGCGAAGGCAGGUUACUGGGCAGUUACUGACGCUGAGGAGCGAAAGCAUGGGUAGCGAACAGGAUUAGAUACCCUGGUAGUCCAUGCCGUAAACGGUGGGCGCUAGGUGUGAGGGUCUUUUCACGACUUUCGUGCCGUAGCUACGCGUUAAGCGCCCCGCCUGGGAGUACGCCGCAAGGCUA